rnacentral:rRNA from 1 species
GAUGAACGCUAGCGGGAGGCCUAACACAUGCAAGCCGAGCGGUAUUGUUUCUUCGGAAGUGAGAGAGCGGCGUACGGGUGCGUAACACGUGUGCAACCUGCCUUUAUCUGGGGGAUAGCCUUUCGAAAGGAAGAUUAAUACUCCAUAAUAUAUUGAACGGCAUCGUUUAAUAUUGAAAGCUCCGGCGGAUAGAGAUGGGCGCGCGCAAGAUUAGCUAGUUGGUGAGGUAACGGCUCACCAAGGCGAUGAUCUUUAGGGGGGCUGAGAGGGUGAUCCACCACAAUGGUACUGAGACACGGACCAGACUCCUACGGGAGGCAGCAGUGAGGAAUAUUGGUCAAUGGGUGCAAGCCUGAACCAGCCAUCCCGCGUGAAGGACGACUGCCCUAGGGGUUGUAAACUUCUUUUGUAUAGGGAUAAACCUACCCUCGAGAGGGUAGCUGAAGGUACUAUACGAAUAAGCACCGGCUAACUCCGUG